GGAAGGUUAAGUUAGAUCCUACUCUGUUCUUCUCACUUUGCUGACAUUAUUUUUUGCAUAGUAAUGCAGUUAAAAGGCUGACGGCACUCCGUUAGCUCCCAGCGAUAAUGGAGUUGACGGUCACUGUUACCAGGGUUUCUGCAGGUUUUAACAAGUCAAUCUUAAGACUUUUUAAAGACCUUCUUUAAGACCUUUAUGAAUGAAUUUUAAGACCUUUAUCGUGACAUUGAAGUACAACAAAAUGCAGAGUCACAAAAGUAGUUGCAGAGUAAAUAAAUGAAUUUAAAUUAAAUAAA